rnacentral:rRNA from 1 species
UACGUAGGGGGCAAGCGUUGUCCGGAAUCAUUGGGCGUAAAGAGCGCGUAGGCGGUCCGGUAAGUCGGUUGUGAAAACUGGGGGCUCAACCCUCAGAGGCCGACCGAUACUGUCGGGCUAGAGUCCGGAAGAGGCGAGUGGAAUUCCUGGUGUAGCGGUGAAAUGCGCAGAUAUCAGGAGGAACACCAAUGGCUAAGGCAGCUCGCUGGGACGGUACUGACGCUGAGGCGCGAAAGCGUGGGGAGCAAACAGG